rnacentral:misc_RNA from 1 species
GCUCUGGCCAUUGCAUUGCAUGUGACAAUAGAACGGCUAGAACAGACCAUCCAGCCUAUGCACAUGGUAUGUGUUGGCCAUGAUUAAAGAGGUAAUCUUGUUCCGGAAGAGGUAAUCUUGUUCCGGUAUAUUGUUUGCUUUUAAGAAAGCUGUUUCUUAACUCUUAAUUUUCACUCUAUUAAGAAAGAACUUGCUUCCCCCAGCUCUUAAUAGGAUUCAGGUUCCGUGGGCACAUGGAGGCUUUUAGAUCUUGAGAGCCACAAUAACAGUAUUUGCCACCCUUCUGGAACUCAAUGAGGGCAAGAAAGUUGAUUGAAGAUAGGUCUUAAAUAGGUGUUG